AAUACUUCUUCAGUUCUAUCUGUUUAUUAAAAAAGCUUGGGUCUUUAAGGCUUGACCUUGGUGAAUGCAGUAAAAAAUAUUUAAAUAAGAUCUUAUGUGUAAAACACUUCAAUGUGCCUUUUUUAUAUUUUUUUCUUUUUUAGGCCAACUCUCACGUGUUGGCGGAAAGUUAGCAAAAUAUGUUAAGAACUUAUUUCAGAGAUAAUGUUGCUAAACGAUUUAUAGUCGACAAUCUUUCGAAAGCAGAAAAACUCAGGUUAGCAUCAAAUAGAAAGUUAGCGCAAUUUCUGUGUCAAACAAAGAAUACGUGAAUUAUUUGAGAUAUGAUUGAAAUUUGCAAAGAAAGUAAAAAUCAAACAAGUUAGAUUCUAAGUUAUUGUAUAUAAUUUUAAAAUUUUGAAAU